rnacentral:rRNA from 1 species
GACAUUUAAGUCAGGGGUGAAAUCCCGGGGCUCAACCCCGGAACUGCCUUUGAUACUGGGUGUCUAGAGUCCGGAAGAGGUGAGUGGAAUUGCGAGUGUAGAGGUGAAAUUCGUAGAUAUUCGCAGGAACACCAGUGGCGAAGGCGGCUCACUGGUCCGGUACUGACGCUGAGGUGCGAAAGCGUGGGGAGCAAACA